rnacentral:lncRNA from 1 species
GAAUUUCUCACCACUUCUCUAUGCAUUGCAUUCCCUCCAUUAUCAAUCAUGAUUGGGUAAUGGAUUUUCUGCACUUGAUGAGUCACCAAACUUGACAAAACCCAUGUCGAUGAGUCUUUCAAGUUGCUUCCUAAAGGCAGUGCAAUUCUCAAUCGAGUGUCCUGUAAUUCCCGCAUGGUAUUCACAUUGUACGUUCGCA